CCAGUCUUCUUUCACCAUCUCUUCUCUCUGGUCUCGGAUUCUGCCAGUCAUUUCCGCCAGUUCCAUGUAGUCAAUCACCUUCAUCUGCCAUUCUUCCAGAGUGGGUAGAUCUUGUGUCUUCCAAUACUUUGCGAUGAGUAUUCUUGCUGCUGUUGUUGCAUACAUAAAAAAAGUUCUAUCCUUCUUUGGCACCAAUUGACCGACAAUGCCCAAAAGAAAGGCCUCUGGUUUCUUCGGAAAGGUAUAUUUAAAUACCUUUUUCAAUUCAUUAUAUAUCAUUUCCCAGAAAGCCUUAAUCCUUGGGCACGUCCACCAAAGGUGAAAGAAUGUACCUUCAGUUUCUUUACAUUUCCAACAUUUAUUAUCGGGCAAAUGAUAGAUUUUUGCAAGCUUGACUGGGGUCAUGUACCACCUGUAUAUCAUUUUCAUAAUAUUCUCUCUUAAGGCAUUACAUGCCGUAAACUUCAUACCUGUGGUCCAUAACUGUUCCCAGUCAGCAAACAUAAUAUUGUGUCCAACAUCUUGUGCCCAUUUAAUCAUAGCAGAUUUCACCGUUUCAUCCUGAGUAUUCCAUUUCAACAGCAAGUUAUACAUUCUUGACAAAUUCUUAGUUUGGGGUUCUAGCAGUUCUGUUUCUAAUUUUGACUUUUCCACCUGGAAGCCUAUUUUCUUAUCCAAAUUAUA